UACAGAGGGUGCGAGCGUUGUUCGGAAUUACUGGGCGUAAAGGGCUCGUAGGCGGCCAACUAAGUCAUACGUGAAAUCCCUCAGCUUAACUGGGGAACUGCGUCUGAUACUGGAUGGCUUGAGUUUGGGAGAGGGAUGCGGAAUUCCAGGUGUAGCGGUGAAAUGCGUAGAUAUCUGGAGGAACACCGGUGGCGAAGGCGGCAUCCUGGACCAACACUGACGCUGAGUGAGCGAAAGCCAGGGGAGCAAACGGG
rnacentral:rRNA from 1 species